CCCUUAGAUGUUCUGGGCGGCCCGCGCACUACAAUGGCGUGUGCAGCGAGUGCCGAAGUAGAGUUUUCCGAGGUAUUCUUGCAAUGCUCGUUUUGAUGGGGAUAGACCCUUGCAACUGUUGGUUUUGAACGAGGAAUUCCUUGUAAGCAUGGUUUAUCAUCCGACGCUGAAUGCGUCCCUGCCCUUUGUACACACCGCCCGUCGCUCCUACCGAUGAGUCGUCCGGUGAAGUUCGUAGACCUCGUGAUCGCGGAUCACUGGGGGAAGAAAAAUGAACCUCGCGGUUUAGAGGAAGGAGAAGUCGUAACA
rnacentral:rRNA from 1 species